rnacentral:misc_RNA from 1 species
GAAAUGCGAUAAGUAAUGUGAAUUGCAGAAUUCAGUGAAUCAUCGAAUCUUUGAACGCACAUUGCGCCCUUUGGUAUUCCAAAGGGCAUGCCUGUUCGAGCGUCAUUUGUACCCUCAAGCUUUGCCUGGUGUUGGGCGUCUUGUCUCUAGCUUUGCUGGAGACUCGCCUUAAAGUAAUUGGCAGCCGGCCUACUGGUUUCGGAGCGCAGCACAAGUCGCACUCUCUAUCACAAAAUGUCUAGCAUCCAUUAAGCCUUUUUUUCACCUUUUUUCCUGGGAUCAGGUAGGACUACCCGCUGAACUUAA